CAAAGGCCCCAAAGGAAGCCACGGCUAACUCUGUGCCAGCAGCCGCGGUAAUACAGAGGUGGCAAGCGUUGUUCGGUAUUAUUGGGCGUAAAGAGCACGUAGGUGGUUUUGUAAGUCAGAUGUGAAAGCCUUCUGUUCAAAGGAAGAACGGCAUCUGAAACUGCGAAUCUUGAGUGUAGGAGGGGAGAGUGGAACUUCUGGUGGAGCGGUGAAAUGCGUAGAUAUCAGAAGGAACGUCGGCGGCGAAAGCGACUCUCUGGCCUAUUACUGACACUGAGUGUGCGAAAGUUAGGGGAGCAAACGGGAUUAGAUACCCCGGUAGUCCUAACUGUAAA
rnacentral:rRNA from 1 species